GCUUUCUCUUUACUUUCCUAGACUUGAAGGAAGAUUAUCUAUUUUCUUCAGGUGGAUUGAAAUGAUGGCUCCUGGAUUAGUAAUAUGUAAUUCAAGGAUGGUAGCUUGCUUAGAAUCUUCGUUAGCUUGGGUACUAGUAGUGUUUUUUUGUUUCAGUAAAAACUAGUGGUCUCUUUUGUAACUUCCUACUGAUUCUAAAAUUUUUUCUCUUAUGUAAAAAUAUGUAAAGGAAGUAGAUAAUGUAAUAGUUGUUGUAAUGAUUUUGAUUUUUGGUAUUUUGUUAGAGCAUGUCAUGUGAUCAAUCACACUAUAUUUGGUGACAAGUUUAUAAAGAUUGGAUUAGUUGAUUUAAAA